rnacentral:rRNA from 1 species
ACGGAGGGUGCAAGCGUUAUUCGGAAUUACUGGGCGUAAAGCGCACGUAGGCCGCUUUGUAAGUCAGGGGUGAAAUCCCACGGCUCAACCGUGGAACUGCCCUUGAAACUGCGAAGCUUGAAUCCUGGAGAGGGUGGCGGAAUUCCUGGUGUAGGAGUGAAAUCCGUAGAUAUCAGGAGGAACACCAGAGGCGAAGGCGACACCCUGGGCCGUACCUGACGCUAAGACGCGACAGCACGGGGAGCGAACGG